rnacentral:rRNA from 1 species
UAUCUCUGUAGAGUCUGCAUAUCAAUAAGCGGAGGAAAAGAAACUAACAAGGAUUCCCUUAGUAACGGCGAGUGAAGCGGGAAGAGCUCAAAUUUGAAAUCUUCAAGGUUCUACCUUGACGAAUUGUAGUUUAAAGAAGUGUUUUCUGUUAGAUGAGUAGCAAAAGUUCCUUGGAAUAGGACAUCAUAGAGGGUGAGAAUCCCGUAUUUGACCAUUACUUCCAGCGUUGUGAUACACUUUCAAAGAGUCGGAUUGUUUGGGAAUGCAGUCCAAAAUGGGUGGUAAAUUUCAUCUAAAGCUAAAUAUUGGCGAGAGACCGACUAGCGAACAAGUACCGUGAGGGAAAGAUGAAAAGAACUUUGAAAAGAGAGUUAAACAGUACGUGAAAUUGUCAAAAGGGAAGCGUUUGACACCAGUGUUGUUUUUCCGAAAAUCAAUUACGAAUGGCUUGAUUCUGUGUUGUAUUGACCUUAUCUAGCUUUCUUCACUUUUUUCGAGUCUUUCUUAAUGCACUUUUCGGUUAACAAGUCAACAUCAAUUUCUUUUGUUGUAAAAGAGUAUUCGGAAGGUGGCUUUCUUUUCGGAGAAAGUGUUCAUAGCCCUAUACUUCUACAAUCGGAGAGAUUGAGGUCUGCAGCGUAGAUCCUUCGGGGUUAGAUACACUUGUGCUAAGUUGUAGCUUUUCAUAGACAACUUGUUGACUAUGUUUAGUCAUGCGGCUUACUCGCUUGUGCUAUUUUACCUACGCUUAGGAUGUUGACGAGACUGUCGAUCUC